rnacentral:rRNA from 1 species
GGGUUGUGAGGUUAAGCGACUAAGCGUACACGGUGGAUGCCCUGGCAGUCAGAGGCGAUGAAGGACGUGCUAAUCUGCGAUAAGCGCCGGUAAGGUGAUAUGAACCGUUAUAACCGGCGAUUUCCGAAUGGGGAAACCCAGUGUGAUUCGUCACACUAUCAUUAACUGAAUCCAUAGGUUAAUGAGGCGAACCGGGGGAACUGAAACAUCUAAGUACCCCGAGGAAAAGAAAUCAACCGAGAUUCCCCCAGUAGCGGCGAGCGAACGGGGAGGAGCCCAGAGCCUGAAUCAGCAUGUGUGUUAGUGGAAGCGUCUGGAAAGGCGCGCGAUACAGGGUGACAGCCCCGUACACAAAAGCGCAUGUGUUGUGAGCUCGAUGAGUAGGGCGGGACACGUGGUAUCCUGUCUGAAUAUGGGGGGACCAUCCUCCAAGGCUAAAUACUCCUGACUGACCGAUAGUGAACCAGUACCGUGAGGGAAAGGCGAAAAGAACCCCGGCGAGGGGAGUGAAAAAGAACCUGAAACCGUGUACGUACAAGCAGUGGGAGCACAGGUUUACCUGUGUGACUGCGUACCUUUUGUAUAAUGGGUCAGCGACUUAUAUUCUGUAGCAAGGUUAACCGUAUAGGGGAGCCGGAGGGAAACCGAGUCUUAAUUGGGCGUUAAGUUGCAGGGUAUAGACCCGAAACCCGGUGAUCUAGCCAUGGGCAGGUUGAAGGUUGGGUAACACUAACUGGAGGACCGAACCGACUAAUGUUGAAAAAUUAGCGGAUGACCUGUGGCUGGGGGUGAAAGGCCAAUCAAACCGGGAGAUAGCUGGUUCUCCCCGAAAGCUAUUUAGGUAGCGCCUCGUGAAUUCA